GCAAGCAGAAGCAACGUACGUUUUCCCUUUUCUGCAAAGCUCGAAUCCGCUUGUUCAAAGAGAAGGUGUAUUUACUUUAGUUAACAUAUAUGAAGAAGCAAGC